rnacentral:rRNA from 1 species
UACGGGGGGGGCAAGCGUUGUUCGGAAUUACUGGGCGUAAAGGGCUCGUAGGCGGCCAACUAAGUCGGAUGUGAAAUCCCCAGGCUUAACCUGGGAACUGCAUCCGAUACUGGAUGGCUUGAAUUCGGGAGAGGGAUGCAGAAUUCCAGGUGUAGCGGUGAAAUGCGUAGAUAUCUGGAGGAACACCAAUGGCGAAGGCAGCUCGCUGGGACGGUACUGACGCUGAGACGCGAAAGCGUGGGGAGCAAACAGG